rnacentral:rRNA from 1 species
AUUGAACGCUGGCGGCAUGCUUUACACAUGCAAGUCGAACGGCAGCGCGGGCUUCGGCCUGGCGGCGAGUGGCGAACGGGUGAGUAAUACAUCUGAACGUGCCCAGUAGUGGGGGAUAGCUCGGCGAAAGCCGGAUUAAUACCGCAUACGACCUGAGGGUGAAAGCGGGGGAUCUUCGGACCUCGCGCUAUUGGAGCGGCCGAUGGCAGAUUAGCUAGUUGGUGGGGUAAAGGCCUACCAAGGCGACGAUCUGUAGCUGGUCUGAGAGGACGACCAGCCACACUGGGACUGAGACACGGACCAGACUCCUACGGGAGGCAGCAGUGGGGAAUUUUGGACAAUAGGCGAAAGCCUGAUCCAGCAAUGCCGCGUGUGUGAUGAAGGCCUUCGGGUUGUAAAGCACUUUUGGCGGGAACGAAAAGGACUGUGCCAAUACCACGGUUCGAUGACGGUACCCGCAGAAUAAGCACCGGCUAACUACGUG